GGAGCUUGUUUGGAUAACACCACUCUCCACACACCGCUCUCCACAUUAAGGGCCUCCGCUGAGUCAAGCACUGAGCAAAGACGAGCAUAGGAAAGACGGGUUUCCAGCCCUGGCGGGCCUGACUUGCUCUCCUGGAGAAGGUGACGCCCUGUGCCACCCUGGGACUCCAACCACAAGUCAUUGCCUGAUGCAGCCCCAGACCUUGGACCGGAACCGUGAAUGUCAAGCAGUUUUUGAGCCUAGGAAUAAAUGAUCAAGAAAGCUCGGUGCCAGCCCUUGCAGGCAGGAGAAGCUCAGGAACACAGCUGGGCACCUGACGCACUGCUGAGAGCCUAAAGGGGCAGGGCCUGCUUGCCCACAGACGUGUACAGGAAACAACCUCUUGCACAGAGGGAUUGGCUGAAUCAGUUGCCAGCUGCCCAUGAUAGUGACCAGUUCCAGCAUGAGCUCUCUCUCUCCCUGUUGUAAUCUACUCAGAACCCCACUCCUGUAAACGGAUAGAAAAAGAGCAACAAAGCUGCUGGCGUGGCUUUGGUUCUAUCAAAGUAUAUUUUUAGAUAAAAAUACUACUAGCAACAAGGAGGGACAUUCCAUAAUGGUAGAAAGUAUAAUUCAUAAGGAAAUUGUGGCAGUUUCAAAUCUGCAUAAUGAAAGUCUACAUAAAAGUCUCCUUGAAGUCUGUAUCUAAUAACAUAACUUCAAAGUCAACAAAACUAGAAAGGAAAUAGACAAAUCCACAAUCAUAUUAUGGAACUUUAAUACACUUACAUCAAAAAACAAGGGCUUUAAAUAUUUGAUCAACAUGAUUAGUAAAAUGACCUACUUGAUAGUAGUGUAUGUAGAACACUCUAUCCAGCAGCUGAAGAAUACACAUUAUUCUCAAGAGCUCCUGGAACACUUAACAAAAUAGGCCAUAUGUUGGGCCAUAGGACAUGUUCCAACAAAUUCCAGAGAACAGAAAUCACACAGAUUUUGUUCUCUGACUACAGUAGACUUAAGCUUGACAUCAAGCCAAACAUAACUAGAAAAUGUCAAUAUGUGUGGAAAACAAGUAACAACACACUUUUAAAUAACUGAUGAAUCAAAGGAGAAAUUGCAACAGAUAUUAGAAAAUGUCUUCGGCUGAAUGAUAAUGAAAAUAUUACAUAUAGAAACUUUCAGGAAUUUUGACUCUGGCCAUAAUAAUAAAUUUAGACAAAAUGGAAAGAUUCCUAAAAUCAACCAGCCAAACACACAAAAAACAAAUCAGAAAACAAGAAAAAGAUAAAAAUAUAAAGUCUUUUACUGUUAAGGAAAUUGAACUGAAUUGAAAACCAUUUCACAAAGAAAUCUUCAAAUAGGUCUAGAUGGUUUUCCUGGAAACAUUUUCAAACGUCUGUGGGAGAAAUAGCACAAAUACUAUGCAUAUUCUUCCAGAGACCACACAAAGAUAUAAUAUUUCCUAACUCAUUUUAGGAAGCUAUUAUAACCUUGAUAACAAAACCUAACACAAAUAUUACAAGAAAAGACAAUUGUGGCCCAAUCUCCCUUUUGAGUGUUGGUACAAAUAUUUCAAAUAUAUUUCCAUGCCAGAUCUGUGUCAUGAUCAAUUGUACAUAGUCAAGAAAUGCAAGGUUGGCUUAAUAUUGUACAGUUUCUCAUAUUAACAGAAUAAAGGCAUACAAUUGUGCAACUAUGUCAAUACAAGCCAAAAAAACUUUUAAUAAAUUUAAACAUCCAUUUUUAUCAAAAUCUCUACCAGAGCAGUAGAGGAAAAUGUCCUUAAUCAGAGAAGGUGUGUCUACAAAACACUUGAUUAAAUGUUGGAGGAUGCUUGCUAUUGUGACUGGUACACAACAUUGUCCACAAGGCCCCAGCCAGUACAAUAAAGCAAGAUAAAUAAGAUGAAUAAGAAUUGGAAAGGAAGAAAAGAAACCAUCAACAGAUGACACAUUUGAUGAAUGAGAGUAUGCAGAAAAAUCUUCAGAUAAAUUAUUAUAAUAACAAAUGAAUUUCAUCAAAGUCCCUGGGUGUAAGAUCAAUACACAAAAAUCAUUUGCAUUUCUAUGUAACACUACAAAACAGUUCUAGAAUGAAAAAUUUAAAACAACGCCAUGAAAAUCAAAUACCUAGGAAAUAAUUUAAUGAUGUUUAAGAGUCUAUGAAGAAAACUAUAACAUUGGAGAGGGAAAUAUUAAAAGAUACAAAUAAAUGAAGAGAUCAACUGUAUUUGUGAGUUGGAAGAAGGUUCUAUAUUGUGAAGAUGUCAAUUCUUCCCAAGUUAAUCUACAGGUACAACACAAUCCUCACAAUCUUAACAGUUUUUUUGUGUGUGUAUGGGAAUUAAUAAGCUGAUUCUUAAAUUUACAUGAAAAUGUAAAGGCACAGGAACAACCAAGAUAAUCUUAAACAGGAACAAAGUUAUAGAGCUUAUACUCUUGGAUUUUAAAAUUUUAUUUACAAGUAACAAUAAUGAUGAGAGUAUGCUAUUGGCACAGGAUAAACAAGUACAUCAAUGGAAAAGCAUAGCAAGUUAUAGAGGCAGACCCACAAAUACAACUAUUUAUGACAAACGUGGCCUUUCUGAGUAAUAGAAGAAGGAUGAUCUUUUCAAUAGAUAUUUCUGAGUGAAUCAGCUAUCCACAGGCAAAAGUAAUAAAAUUUGACCACUACCCAGAAAUAAUCAGUUUCAGAUAGAUUUUAAAUCUGAAUAUGAAAGAUGAAACAACAAGGAUUUUAGAAGAUAACACAGGAGAAUAACUUCAUGACUUUGGAGUAAGGAAAGAUUUCUUAAGUAGCGCACAAAUAGUAUUAACUAUAAAUGAAGGAUCUGUAAAUUAGAAUAAAAAAAGAAUAUCAAUGACCCAGUUCUCAACUUCAUUGAUCAUCAGGGAAAUACAAAUUAAAUUCAUAAUGAGACCCUACUGUAGAUCCACUAGAAUGGCUAAAAGGAAAAGGAGUAACAAUACUAAGUGUUGGUGAGGAUGUGAAUCACCUGGAUUCAAACAACCACUUUCAAAAAUUGUUUGGCAGUAUUGCUCCAAGUUAACACACACA